GUGCUUUUUAGUGACAGCAUAGCUGCAGCCUGCAGGGUUUUUGAAGAAUGGAUCCCCCUAAAGAGGACACAGCCAGCCCUGGUGGUCUAGUGGUUAGGAUUCGGUGCUCUUAUGGCCACUGCCCUGGUUUGCUUCCCAGUCAGGGAACCACACCACCCAUCUGUCGGUUGUCACACUGGGGUGGCUGCAUGUUGCUGUGAUGCUGAAAGCUAUGCCACUGGGAUUUCAAAUACCAGCAGGGUCAUCCAUGGUGACGGGUUUCAGUGGAGCUUCCAGACUAAGACAGACUAGGAAGAAGGACCUGGCCACUCGCUUCCAAAAAACUGGCCAUGAAGACCCUUUGAAUACAGAUGGAACGGGAGGCUGCGCUCUUCUGUGACACUACUCUGCUGUGGAGGAAGAGAUUACUAUUCCUUUCUUAUAGAUGAGAAAAUGGAGGCACAAUGUGUUCAAGUGGCAUAACCAGAGGGAGCCCAGGCCUCUCAGUCCAGUCUACUACUGUUUCUAUUCGCCGUGCUGUGAACACGAUGGAGAUCGAGAGCUGGCUGUUGAUGAGCUUUUACUACUGGCCCCAAUGGUGCUGACUGGUGCUCAGGCCUCUCUACAAUCCACCAAAUCCUUCUCUGCAGGAUGAAGAGACUGACUCUGUAAAGGGAAGGAGAGAUCAGGCCUUGUCUGUUUUGUUACUUGUUGAGGCCAAAUAACACACGAUUUGUGCAUCAGCACUGAUCCAUACAUGGCCCGUUGAGCUGCGGGACCAUAGAAGACAUGUUCCAUCCAUCUUCCAAGGCUGGGGAGAGAAUGGGAGCAAGGCAUGUAAGUCAAGGAGACCCAUUUUAUUCUAAUAGGAUGAAAGACUUCCCAACAAUUGUAGCAGAUACAAAUCUCAAUCCAGAAACUCAGAUGUGCAAGAAAUUUAAAUUUUAGAACUUUUCCAUAACAAAACUUAAUUCUUUUAUGAUAUCCCAUUGCUUGGCUGAAGAAAUUUAGUCUCAGUCCAGUGGAAGCCUUGCAUACCCGCCUUCACCUGGGCAGUGAAGAAAUUGUGCAGAGCUUACAGAGAGCAGAGGCUGGAGUGGGGCUGGAAAAGCCUCUGCU
rnacentral:lncRNA from 1 species